rnacentral:misc_RNA from 1 species
GAUGAAGAACGCAGCGAAAUGCGAUACGUAAUGUGAAUUGCAGAAUUCAGUGAAUCAUCGAGUCUUUGAACGCACAUUGCGCCCCCUGGUAUUCCGGGGGGCAUGCCUGUCCGAGCGUCAUUGCUGCCCUCAAGCACGGCUUGUGUGUUGGGCCUCCGUCCUCCUCCCGGGGGACGGGCCCGAAAGGCAGCGGCGGCACCGCGUCCGGUCCUCGAGCGUAUGGGGCUUCGUCACCCGCUCUUGUAGGCCCGGCCGGCGCUUGCCGACACAUCAAUCUUUUUUCCAGGUUGACCUCGGAUCAGGUAGGGAUACCCGCUGAACUUAAGCAUAUCAAUUAAGCGGAGGA